rnacentral:rRNA from 1 species
CUACGGGACGCACCAGUGAGGAAUUUUGCGCAAUGGGGGGAACCCUGACGCAGCAACGCCGCGUGAGUGAAGAAGGCCUUUGGGUCGUAAAGCUCUGUCAACUGGGAAGAAAUUAGAGUUGUUUAACAGAUGAUUCUAUUGACGGUACCAGUGGAGGAAGCGCCGGCUACCUCCGUGCCAGCAGCCGCGGUAACACGGGGGGCGCAAGCGUGAUUCGGAAUUAUUGGGCGUAAAGGGCGCGCAGGCGGUCUUGUCGGUCAGGUGUGAAAGCCCGGGGCUCAACCCUGGAAGUGCACUUGAAACAGCAAGACUUGAGUACGGGAGAGGAAAGCGGAAUUCCUGGUGUAGAGGUGAAAUUCGUAGAUAUCAGGAGGAACACCGAUGGCGAAGGCAGCUUUCUGGACCGAUACUGACGCUGAGGCGCGAAGGCGUGGGUAGCGAACGGGAUUAGAUACCCCGGUAGUC